rnacentral:SRP_RNA from 1 species
GCCGGGUGCUGUGGCUCAUGCCUGUAAUCCUAGCACCUUGGGAGGCCGAGGUGGGUGGAUCACCUAAGGUCAGGAGUUCAAGACCAGCCUGGCCACCAUGGUGAAACCCCUUCUUAAAAAAAAGAAAGAAAGAAAGAAAACAUUCUCUCUCUCUCUUUUUUUUUUUUUAGAAUAAAGAUGGGGUUUCACCAUGAUGGCCAGGCUGGUCUUGAACUCCUGACCUCAGGUGAUCCACCCACCUCAG